rnacentral:tRNA from 1 species
GUAAAUAUAGCUUAACACUAAAGCAUUAGAUCGUGAACCUAAAGUUAGAGCCUUACACCUCUUAUUUACC